rnacentral:rRNA from 1 species
AUACGGAGGAUCCGAGCGUUAUCCGGAUUUAUUGGGUUUAAAGGGAGCGUAGGCGGACGCUUAAGUCAGUUGUGAAAGUUUGCGGCCCAACCGUAAAAUUGCAGUUGAUACUGGGUGUCUUGAGUACAGUAGAGGCAGGCGGAAUUUGUGGUGUAGGGGUGAAAUGUUUAGAUAUCACGAAUAACUCCGAUUGCGAAGGUAGCCUGCUGGACUGUAACUGACGCUGAUGCUCGAAAGUGUGGGUAUCAAACAGGAUUAGAUUCCCUUGUAGACCACACAGAGAACGUUGAAUACUCGCUUUUUGCGAUAUACAGUAAGCGGCCAAGCGAAAGCGUUAAGGAUUCCACCUGGGGAGUACGCCGUCAACGGGGAUACUGAAACGUAUUGACGGGG